UACGAAGGGGGCUAGCGUUGCUCGGAAUCACUGGGCGUAAAGGGUGCGUAGGCGGGUCUUUAAGUCAGGGGUGAAAUCCUGGAGCUCAACUCCAGAACUGCCUUUGAUACUGCGGUGCUUGAGGACUGGAGAGGAGACUGGAAUUCAUGGUGUAGCAGUGAAAUGCGUAGAGAUCAUGAGGAAGACCAGUGGCGAAGGCGGGUCUCUGGACAGUUCCUGACACUGAGACACGAAGGCCAGGGGAGCAAACGGG
rnacentral:rRNA from 1 species